CUCUUCUCCAAAACUUCACAUUUGAGAAUUUCCUUAUUGGGGACAAAACCCAGCGGCGCCUCCCUCCGUCUCCCAUCCCUCUCAAAGAUUGAGUCGCCGCCUCCGCCAACUUCCUUCCCGUCGCCGGCCGCUGCUCACCACCCAAUCAAUGGCCCCAAAUCCGCCGAGGGACCCGACGCGUCGACGGUGCCGCCGCUGCAGCUCGCCGUCGCUCGCUGUUCGCGGCCGCCGCUGCUGCUCCGUCACCGAUUCGUCCUCGGCGUCCUACCACCUUCGCCGUCAGUCGUCACUGCUGGAGCGGAGGCAACCCAGCCGCCGGAGCAGUCACCCCCUGCUAUCGCAGAGAGGUCCAGCCGCCGGACAGACACCGCGCAGGCCCGAUCAACUCCGAACAGCCCCGAAACGUCCCGAAGCUAAGUUCUCGUACUCAAAUUAUGUUCUUUCCGCAUUCGAUUAACUACGGUGAUGUUCGUUAGUUGAUUGUUGAUUUUCUUGUUUGGUUUUAUGUGAUGCGAAUGCUAUGAACGAAUGCUAACAGUUCAUGAUUCGAAAAAGGGGAAAAAAUUAUACCUUGCGACGUAAACUUGGGUGUUGAAACAAAAUGGACGCAACUUCUUCCUCCUCCCCUUCUCUCGGCUCUCUCUCGAAUUGAAGGUGGAAGAGGGAAGGUGAAGGAGUUGGAAACAUGGAGAGUCUCCAUGUGAGAGGACCGGCCGAGAAAGGAGGAAAAAGAAAGAAAAGAAAGGAAGAAAAGUGUUGGGCUUGCUCCCACAUUUUUUUGAAAGAAUUGGGCUCAAAAUAAUUUAUUUUGUUGUAAAUCAUUCAAGCCCAACUAUAUAUAUUUGUCAGCAUUUUUCUAUUUUCCAUGGCCCAAAGCCAUUUUGUAAAAUAACACAUUGGACUUUCUCUAUAUUUAUUUGGAUCAGCCCUAAGUUCUUAUUUU